AGAGUUUGAUUUUGGCUCAAGAUGAACGCUGGCGGCGUGCUUAACACAUGCAAGUCGAACGAAGCACUUUAUUUGAUUUCCUUCGGGACUGAUUAUUUUGUGACUGAGUGGCGGACGGGUGAGUAACGCGUGGGUAACCUGCCUUGUACAGGGGGAUAACAGUUGGAAACGGCUGCUAAUACCGCAUAAGCGCACAGCAUCGCAUGAUGCAGUGUGAAAAACUCCGGUGGUAUAAGAUGGACCCGCGUUGGAUUAGCUAGUUGGUGAGGUAACGGCCCACCAAGGCGACGAUCCAUAGCCGACCUGAGAGGGUGACCGGCCACAUUGGGACUGAGACACGGCCCAAACUCCUACGGGAGGCAGCAGUGGGGAAUAUUGCACAAUGGGCGAAAGCCUGAUGCAGCGACGCCGCGUGAGCGAAGAAGUAUUUCGGUAUGUAAAGCUCUAUCAGCAGGGAAGAUAAUGACGGUACCUGACUAAGAAGCACCGGCUAAAUACGUGCCAGCAGCCGCGGUAAUACGUAUGGUGCAAGCGUUAUCCGGAUUUACUGGGUGUAAAGGGAGCGCAGGCGGUGCGGCAAGUCUGAUGUGAAAGCCCGGGGCUCAACCCCGGUACUGCAUUGGAAACUGUCGUACUAGAGUGUCGGAGGGGUAAGCGGAAUUCCUAGUGUAGCGGUGAAAUGCGUAGAUAUUAGGAGGAACACCAGUGGCGAAGGCGGCUUACUGGACGAUAACUGACGCUGAGGCUCGAAAGCGUGGGGAGCAAACAGGAUUAGAUACCCUGGUAGUCCACGCCGUAAACAAAGGAAUAAUAGUGGCUGGGAAGCAUUGCUUUUCUGUGCCGUCGCAAACGCAGUAAGUAUUCCUCCUGGGGAGUACGUUCGCAAGAAUGAAACUCAAAGGAAUUGACGGGGACCCGCACAAGCGGUGGAGCAUGUGGUUUAAUUUGAAGCAACGCGAAGAACCUCACCAAGUCUUGACAUCCUUCUGACCGGUACUUAACCGUACCUUCUCUUCGGAGCAGGAGUGACAGGUGGUGCAUGGUUGUCGUCAGCUCGUGUCGUGAGAUGUUGGGUUAAGUCCCGCAACGAGCGCAACCCUUAUCUUUAGUAGCCAGCGGUUCGGCCGGGCACUCUAGAGAGACUGCCAGGGAUAACCUGGAGGAAGGCGGGGAGGACGUCAAAUCAUCAUGCCCCCUAUGACUUGGGCUACACACGCGCUACAAUGGCGUAAACAAAGGGAAGCAAAGCUGUGAAGCCGAGCAAAUCUCAAAAAUAACGUCUCAGUUCGGACGGUAGUCUGCAACCCGCCUACACGAAGCUGGAAUCGCUAGUAAUCGCAGAUCAGAAUGCUGCG
rnacentral:rRNA from 1 species